GAAACUGCAAAAGGCUCAUUAAAUCAGUUAUCGUUUAUUUGAUAAUACCUUACUACUUGGAUAACCGUGGUAAUUCUAGAGCUAAUACAUGCUGAAAAUCCCGACUUCGGAAGGGAUGUGUUUAUUAGAUAAAAAACCAAUGCCCUUCGGGGCUUUUUGGUGAUUCAUGAUAACUUUACGGAUCGCAUAGCCUUGCGCUGGCGACGGUUCAUUCAAAUUUCUGCCCUAUCAACUUUCGAUGGUAAGGUAUUGGCUUACCAUGGUUUCAACGGGUAACGGGGAAUUAGGGUUCGAUUCCGGAGAGGGAGCCUGAGAAACGGCUACCACAUCCAAGGAAGGCAGCAGGCGCGCAAAUUACCCAAUCCCGACACGGGGAGGUAGUGACAAUAAAUACUGAUACAGGGCUCUUUUGGGUCUUGUAAUUGGAAUGAGUACAAUUUAAACCUCUUAACGAGGAACAAUUGGAGGGCAAGUCUGGUGCCAGCAGCCGCGGUAAUUCCAGCUCCAAUAGCGUAUAUUAAAGUUGUUGCAGUUAAAAAGCUCGUAGUUGAAACUUGGGCCUGGCUGGCGGGUCCGCCUCACCGCGUGCACUCGUCCGGCCGGGCCUUCCUUCUGAAGAACUCAUGCCCUUCACUGGGCGUGCUGGGGAAUCAGGACUUUUACUUUGAAAAAAUUAGAGUGUUC
rnacentral:rRNA from 1 species